AUUGAACGCUGGCGGCAGGCCUAACACAUGCAAGUCGAGCGGAGCGGCGGACGGGUGCGUAAUGCCUAGGCAUCUGCCUGGUCGUGGGGGAUAACGUACGGAAACGGGCGCUAAUACCGCCUACUCUCAUGUGAGCCUAGGUCGGAGUAGCUAGUUGGUGGGGUAAAGGCCUACCAAGGCGACGAUCCGUAACUGGCCUGAGAGGAUGAUCAGUCACACGGGAACUGAGACACGGUCCAGACUCCUACGGGAGGCAGCAGUGGGGAAUAUUGGACAAUGGGCGAAAGCCUGAUCCAGCCAUGCCGCGUGUGUGAAGAAGGUCUUCGGAUUGUAAAGUACUUUCAUUCGGGAGGCGUUACCGACAGAAGAAGCACCGGCUAACUCCGUGCCAGCAGCCGCGGUAAUAC
rnacentral:rRNA from 1 species